rnacentral:tRNA from 1 species
GGGGAUAUAGCUCAGUUGGUAGAGUGCUUGUCUGGGAUACACACAGUCCUGGGUUCAAUCCCCAGCACCCCCU